rnacentral:hammerhead_ribozyme from 1 species
AUCCAGCUGAUAAAUUCAAAACAGAACGAAACUCGAGUCGUGGAU